UGAUGAGAUCUCUUCGACGAGCACCAGUGCCAGCAUCAUGACCUCACCUUGCAUGAGUCUGUAAUUCUCUGCAGAGACGGAGUCUUCAGAGCACCCUGAGAGGAUGAGUUGGACGCAUGCAUACAUUGCUGACACAGACCUGAGUUCUUACUCUGCCUGAAGGACUUUGCAGGAGACGUGCCAUGAGCUGGGUCUCUUCCAGCCGCCAAGCAUCCUUCUGCCCAGUCCCACUGUCUGUUUUGUGACCAUCCUCAACAGUCGAUGCAUCAACACCAAAAUAUUUGGGAGCUAAGCAAACAGAAGUCAUGGAAUGAUUCUCAGAACCAACCACAUAAAGAGCAAAAUGCAGGCCUCCUGCAGAGGGAGUUGUUUUGAAGAUCUCAUGCCAUACCCUCCGCUACCCUUAGACCUCAGGGAGAGCUCACCACCCACAGGCCUUGCCUGGUGCUUCUCCCCAGAGCAGUUCAGACCGCCCAGCCUGGACAUGCAUGUGAACCUCUGUGAAGAGCAUUCUCCAAUUAGUAGGGAAAACAGCCUUGUGUCAGUGCUGGGAAACUGUGGGUUGGUCGACCAAGGCUGAUUCAACGGGCAGGUCACAACAAGGCCAAUGUGAAUUCUAAAAUGUUUCACUCGAAUCCUAUUACUAGCCUAGUAAACAGGACUACAAAACUUUAUGUCAAGCUCUGCAAACGACAAUAAAAAUUUCAGAAGCGCCCAAGGUGGAAAGAAGAGAGAGAGAGUCAUAAACACCCGAGUCAAGGAUUUAAGAUGAUGUCGAAGAGGAGGAUUAAGUGUCAAACUUUCUAACCCGCCUACUGAUAACAUCAGUUUGUUCACAACCGAAAGUAGGAUGCACUACGUUGUUGGAUGUUAUAUGCUCCGCGGGUGUUUGCGAAUCUGCUCAUGGUCUUUGGGGGAUCAGGGAGCUUGCAUGGCAAUCUUCUCUCUCUCUUUUCUUUCUUUUGUCCUUGUAAUGCAGCAGGGGAAGGAGCUCUGUUUCACUCACCUUGGAGCCAAAUUGAAGUGAACACGCUUAAUUGUGCAAGGACUGGACAGUGAACCCUUUUUCUCAAGGAAUAAAA
rnacentral:lncRNA from 1 species